rnacentral:rRNA from 1 species
UACGAAGGGGGCUAGCGUUGUUCGGAAUUACUGGGCGUAAAGCGCGUGUAGGCGGCCCUCUAAGUCGGGGGUGAAAGCCUGGAGCUCAACUCCAGAACUGCCUUUGAUACUGGAGAGCUUGAGCCUGGUAGAGGUGAGUGGAACUGCGAGUGUAGAGGUGAAAUUCGUAGAUAUUCGCAAGAACACCAGUGGCGAAGGCGGCUCACUGGUCCGGUACUGACGCUGAGGUGCGAAAGCGUGGGGAGCAAACAGG